GAAUCCUAAUAACCUCAUAAAACCUUCAGGAAAAAGAUGCACUGAGAUAAUAGAUCGGGAUCAACGGCGUCUGCGACCUCUUCAUUCAUUUCUAACAGUCUCUUUGUUCCCUUUUCUGCAAUAGCGAACGUGGUGGACGGUUGUUUGAAUUUUUAGGGUUUGGAUGAUGCCUUCUGGCGGAGGACAACGACUGAAGCGGCCAGGCGCAGUUGCAGCCAACAUUUCCCGAGUCAUCUUUUUCUCCGCAUCAGAUUUAGGACUUUUCUAUGUGAUGCGGUUAGAAGGCCAAAAACUUCGAAAAUCCAAGAAAAAAAGGGGAUGCAUCUACUUCACUUAUUCCUUGGCCAUAAUGAACUAAUCCUAAUAACUCUAUGUGGAACUUUGAGGGAGACCUAGGUUAACAGAAGUGUAGAAGCUCAUGAGACCGUCGCUAAUGCAUUUGUUCAUGCUGUAAAAUAUAAUUUCAUUGAAGCUUUGGAGUCUAGACUGGGCACUCUAGUGGAUUUUGUCAUUCAAAUAGCUCAGGUAAUAUUUUGUGUGCUCGCGCCGCGUCCCUCCUCCCACACAGCCAUUUAUCCUCUCUGCUAGCGGCACUUUCUUUCUCCCUGCUGUGCACGAGCUCCUGGCCAGACAACUAAAAUGCAACGAAAUUCAUAUAAUGCGGGGUCCGCACCUAAGAAUUUUCCAGCAGCCUCGUCCACCUGCUGGCAACUCAACCCGUAGCACCUUUCUACUAACGCAGCCGCAGCAGCUCUCGUUCUAACCUGCGAUCAGCGAAGCUUUCCAUCUCCCGCCGCAGCAGCCCCCACAAGGAAGCUUCCCUUUGUCCGGCAUCCUUCGCCAGGGGGCACAUGCUGCAGGUCUCCCUUUGUCGCUGUUGGUGUGCUUCCCUGUUCACUAAAUCUCACCAUAACUCAGAUUUAAGUGUUCUGAUUUUGAGAUUUCUACUUCUGGUGAAGGGGAGAGGAGUUUCACUCCAAAUAUUACAGAUGGGACAGUAUCCGAUGAACGUUGGAAAGAAAAUUUUAUAUGUAGAUAAGAAAUGUGUAGUUAAGAAUGAAUUUGGUGGUAUUUGAUAGUAUUGUGAUGUUAUUGUGAAAAUAUCAUCACAAUACCACCAAUCCGCACGUGCCGAUUCAAUAUACGCUCAUUUUAAAGGGAGAGAUGGCAACCACGAAACCUCAUCACGAAGAGAUGAACAAUAGAUAGUCUGAGAGAAGAGAAAAUAUUAUGUCUGACAAAUUUGAUGGUGAUCCGAAUGCUGUCGUAUUUAAGUCUAAAGAGGAGAGCUGAAAAUUAUUAAAUUGGUAGGGAGA